rnacentral:tRNA from 1 species
GCGAAAGUAGCUCAGUUGGUAGAGCGUCAGCCUUCCAAGCUGAAUGUCGCCGGUUCGAACCUGGUCUUUCGCU